GACGAACGCUGGCGGCGUGCUUAACACACGCAAGUCGAGCGGAAAGGCCCUUUCGGGGGUACUCGAGCGGCGAACGGGUGAGUAACACGUGAGUAAUCUGCCCCUGGCUUUGGGAUAGCCACCGGAAACGGUGAUUAAUACCGGAUACGACCACUUCUCGCAUGGGAUGGUGGUGGAAAGUUUUUCGGCCAGGGAUGUGCUCGCGGCCUAUCAGCUUGAUGGUGAGGUAAUGGCUCACCAUGGCUUCGACGGGUAGCCGGCCUGAGAGGGUGACCGGUCACACUGGGACUGGGGCACGGCCCAGACUCCUACGGGAGGCAGCAGUGGGGAAGAUUGGACAAUGGGCGGAAGCCUGAUCUAGCAACGCCGCGUGAGGGAUGACGGCCUUCGGGUUGUAAACCUCUUUCAGCAGGGACGAAGCGCAAGUGACGGUACCUGCAGAAGAAGCACCGGCCAACUACGUGCCAGCCGCCGCAGUAA
rnacentral:rRNA from 1 species